GUCGAGGGGUAUGGGAGCUUGCUUUCCAGAGACCGGCGCACGGGUGAGUAACGCGUAUGCAACCUGCCUUUUACUGGGGGAUAGCCCAAAGAAAUUUGGAUUAAUACCGCAUAAUAUAAUUGAACCGCAUGGUUUGGCUAUUAAAGCUUCGGUGGUAAAAGAUGGGCAUGCGUAGCAUUAGUUUGUUGGUGAGGUAACGGCUCACCAAGACUAUGAUGCUUAGGGGGUCUGAGAGGAUAGUCCCCCACACUGGUACUGAGACACGGACCAGACUCCUACGGGAGGCAGCAGUGAGGAAUAUUGGUCAAUGGGCGCAAGCCUGAACCAGCCAUGUCGCGUGCAGGAUGACGGCCCUAUGGGUUGUAAACUGCUUUUUUACAGGAAUAAACUUUACUACGUGUAGUGAACUGAAGGUACUGUAAGAAUAAGGAUCGGCUAACUCCGUGCCAGCAGCCGCGGUAAUACGGAGGAUCCAAGCGUUAUCCGGAUUUAUUGGGUUUAAAGGGUCCGUAGGCGGGCUUUUAAGUCAGUGGUGAAAUCCCGGAGCUCAACUCCGGAACUGCCAUUGAUACUGAAGGCCUUGAAUUUAGUUGAGGUGGGCGGAAUACGUUAUGUAGCGGUGAAAUGCAUAGAUAUAACGUAGAACACCGAUUGCGAAGGCAGCUCACUAAGCUAACAUUGACGCUGAUGGACGAAAGCGUGGGGAGCGAACAGGAUUAGAUACCCUGGUAGUCCACGCCGUAAACGAUGAUUACUCGUUGUGCACGAUACACAGUGCGUGACUGAGCGAAAGCAUUAAGUAAUCCACCUGGGGAGUACGUUCGCAAGAAUGAAACUC
rnacentral:rRNA from 1 species